rnacentral:rRNA from 1 species
CUAACAAGGAUUCCCCUAGUAACUGCGAGUGAAGCGGGAAAAGCUCAAAUUUAAAAUCUGAGGGUCCCUGUGGCCUUCCGAGUUGUAAUCUAGAGAAGUGUUAUCCGCGCUGGACCGUGUACAAGUCUCCUGGAACGGAGCAUCAUAGAGGGUGAGAAUCCCGUCUUUGACAUGGACUACCAGGGCUUUGUGAUGCGCUCUCAAAGAGUCGAGUUGUUUGGGAAUGCAGCUCUAAAUGGGUGGUAAAUUCCAUCUAAAGCUAAAUAUUGGCGAGAGACCGAUAGCGAACAAGUACCGUGAGGGAAAGAUGAAAAGAACUUUGGAAAGAGAGUUAAACAGUACGUGAAAUUGUUGAAAGGGAAACGCUUGAAGUCAGUCGCGUYGGCCAGGGAUCAACCUUGCUCUUGCUUGGUGUACUUUCUGGUUAACGGGUCAGCAUCAAUUUUGACAGGUGGAUAAAGGUUAGGGGAAUGUGGCAUCUUCGGAUGUGUUAUAGCCCUUGGUCGCAUACAUCGGUUGGAAUUGAGGAACUCAGCACGCCGCAAGGCCGGGUUUUUAACCACGUACGUGCUUAGGAUGCUGGCAUAAUGGCUUUAAUCGACCCGUCUUGAAACACGGACCAAGGAGUCUAACAUGCACGCGAGUGUUUGGGUGGAAAACCCGAGCGCGUAAUGAAAGUGAAAAUUGAGAUCCCUGUCGUGGGGAGCAUCAGUGCCCGGACCAGACCUUUUGUGACGGUUCCGCGGUUGAGCGUGUAUGCUGGGACCCGAAAGAUGGUGAACUAUGCCUGAAUAGGGUGAAGCCAGAGGAAACUCUGGUGGAGGCUCGUAGCGAUUCUGACGUGCAAAUCGAUCGUCAAAUUUGGGUAUAGGGGCGAAAGACUAAUCGA